ACUGUGGAAGAGCUGUGAAUAGAAUGCCGGAGUCCAGACUCUCAUUCAGAAGACCCUCCCUCCUCCUCCUCUUGCAAAAGUGACAGCUACAUAAAUAAAUAAGAGAUAGAUAGUCAGCACUUUCCUGCUGAUGAAGUCAGAAGAGCAAGAAAAUAGGGGGAAAGGAAAAAUUGAAGGAGAGAGAAAAUGUAGGAAGACAUGGAAGAGGAAAGGAUGCAGGAGAACAAACUCAGCAGAAAGGAAAUAGGCAGUGCUACUGUGGGAACCCUCCAUUAAACAAAGGCUUUGAAGCAAGCUCCAGAACUCCACUUCGUUACCAAGACAUUUGCAGGAAAGAUUCCAUGAGCUCCACUUCCUUUUCAUUGGGAAACUGAUUAAUAAAUAAAGG